GACAGUUUUAAGCACUUCAUUUAUUUAACAAAUUUACUGAGUUAACAAAUGAAGUUUAGAUAGUCUAAUGUUGAUGGAGGAAUUGAGAAAUGAGGACACUGGCUCAGCCCAGCUGAUAUUCAUCAGUGUUUACCCCCCCCCAGGCUUUGUUUCAAACACUUUAAUGUAUUAACUCAUUUUAUUAUCUUCAUUUUACAGAAGAGGAUCAUGAGACAGAGAGAUGUUUUAGGGUGACCAGCUGUCCAGGUGUGUCUAGGAUGGAGAGGUUUCCCAGCAUGUGGGACUUUGAGUGCUAAAACCAGGACAGCUCCAGGCAAACUGGAACAGUGGGUCCACCUAGGUGUUAAUAACUUGACCAAAGUCACACAGUUAGUAAGUGGCAGAGCCUGUCCUCCAAUUCAGGUAGCCUGACUUUAGACCCGAACUCUGCUUCUGCCAGUGGUUCACACACCUGAGCCUGCAUCUGAAGUGGCUGGAGAUCUUGUUAAAACUCAGAUUAGGUUUGGGGCAGCUGAAAAUCUGCUCGUCUAACAAGUUCCCAGGUGAUGUCGAUGCUGCUGGCCCGUGGACCAACAUGGAGAACCGCGGCGUUCGGCUACCUCGCCUCCAGAUGAGAAUGUUGGAAUGGACUUUUCAGAGCCCCUGUUGAGUUCCCUGCUGCGUAGGAUGCCAGAACUGGAGACUGUGGAGAUCAUGAAGUUGGUGAAUUGCCCCGAGACCUUCACCCCGGACAUGAGGUGCAUCAUGGGCGAGUCCCCUUCAGUGCGGGGCUACUUCGUCCUGGCGGGAAUGAACUCUGCUGGCCUUUCGUUUGGUGGAGGAGCUGGAAGAGUUGACCAGAGAGUAAAGUGUUAGCUGUGCUGCUGGAAGACCCUUCACUGAAACGAGCUGCAGAAGCUUUCGACCCUACACCCAUCUGUUGAAGGUUCAAAAUGAUUCUUCAAUUGCAUAUGCUGAGAAGAUUGUGGAGCCCCUCUCCCAAGACAGCACAAGUGGUGAUAAUAACAUCAUUUCAGAGAGAAGAAAAAAGUACCAACCACC